GACGAACGCUGGCGGCGUGCCUAAUACAUGCAAGUAGAACGCACAGUUUAUACCGUAGCUUGCUACACCAUAGACUGUGAGUUGCGAACGGGUGAGUAACGCGUAGGUAACCUGCCUGGUAGCGGGGGAUAACUAUUGGAAACGAUAGCUAAUACCGCAUAAUAUUGAUUAUUGCAUGAUAAUUGAUUGAAAGAUGCUAUUGCAUCACUACCAGAUGGACUUGCGUUGUAUUAGCUAGUAGGUGAGGUAACGGCUCACCUAGGCGACGAUACAUAGCCGACCGGGGAGGUGGGUCGGCCACACUGGGACUGGGACACGGCCCAGACUCCUACGGGAGGCAGCAGUAGGGAAUCUUCGGCAAUGGACGAAAGUCUGACCGAGCAACGCCGCGUGAGUGAAGAAGGUGUUCGGAUCGUAAAGCUCUGUUUUAAGAGAAGAACGGGUGUGAGAGUGGAAAGUGCACACUGUGACGGUAUCUUACCAGAAAGGGACGGCUAACUACGUG
rnacentral:rRNA from 1 species